rnacentral:rRNA from 1 species
CACGUAGGGCGCAAGCGUUUGUCCGGAAUUAUUGGGCGUAAAGAGCUCGUAGGCGGUCUGUUGCGUCCGCUGUGAAAACUCGGGGCUUAACCCCGAGCCUGCAGUGGAUACGGGCAGACUAGAGGUAGGUAGGGGAGAAUGGAAUUCCCGGUGUAGCGGUGAAAUGCGCAGAUAUCGGGAAGAACACCCGUGGCGAAGGCGGCUCUCUGGGACGGUACCGACGCUGAGACGCGAAAGCGUGGGGAGCGAACAGG